UACGGAGGGGGCUAGCGUUGUUCGGAAUUACUGGGCGUAAAGCGCGCGUAGGCGGCUUUGUAAGUUAGAGGCGAAAGCCCGGAGCUUAACUCCGGAACUGCCUUUAAGACUGCAUCGCUAGAAUUGUGGAGAGGUGAGUGGAAUUCCGAGUGUAGAGGUGAAAUUCGUAGAUAUUCGGAAGAACACCAGUGGCGAAGGCGACUCACUGGACACAUAUUGACGCUGAGGUGCGAAAGCGUGGGGAGCAAACAGG
rnacentral:rRNA from 1 species